UACUAGAGUAGCACUCGCAUAUCAAUAAGCGGAGGAAAAGAAACUAACAAGGAUUCCCCUAGUAACGGCGAGUGAAGCGGGAAGAGCUCAAAUUUGAAAUCUUAAAGGGUUUCCCUUUACGAAUUGUAGUUUAAAGAAGUGUUUUCUGUUGAGGUUUUGGUAAAAGUUCUUUGGAAUAGGACAUCAUAGAGGGUGAGAAUCCCGUAUUUGACCUUUACUUUCAACUUUGUGAUACACUUUCAAAGAGUCGGAUUGUUUGGGAAUGCAGUCCAAAAUGGGUGGUAAAUUUCAUCUAAAGCUAAAUAUUGGCGAGAGACCGAUAGCGAACAAGUACCGUGAGGGAAAGAUGAAAAGAACUUUGAAAAGAGAGUUAAACAGUACGUGAAAUUGUCAAAAGGGAAGCGUUUGACACCAGUGUUGUUUUUCUGAAAAUCAAUUAAAGAACUGUUUAUGCUAAGUUGUUUAGACUUUAUCAGCCUAUCUGCUUAGUUUUGAGGCUUUCUUUAAUGCACUUUUCAGUUAACAAGUCAACAUCAAUUUCUUUUGCUGUAAAAAAGCUUGAGGAAGGUGGCUUGAGAUUCGUCUUAAGUGUUUAUAGCCUCUUGCCUAUGCAGUCGGAGAGAUUGAGGUCUGCAGCGUAGAUCCUUCGGGGCUAAAUGCAUUUGUGCUAAGUUAUAGCAUUUUAUAGACAACUUGUUGACUAUGAUUUGUCUUGUAGCUUACUCGCUUAUGUUAUUUUACCUACGCUUAGGAUGUUGAACUACUGAGACAUAGA
rnacentral:rRNA from 1 species